ensembl:lncRNA
AAAAAAUUCCAGCAAACCUAGUGGACAACUAUGCAAAAUGCAUACAAUAUGUUAUUUCUGCUAAAGGGGGCAAAACUAGCUUCUGAGGCCCAUGGUGUAUUGACUUUUUCCACAGAUGGAUAUCACAUCUAAUGAUAUUUCUGUUGAAUAAAUGAUUGAAAAAGCUAAUUGUACUUGUGGUUUUGUUCAAGUAUAUUGUUCUAACAUUUGAUCAUGUUUGAAACAGAGUCAUUAAUAGGCUGAUUAAUGACUGAAGCCAUUAAUGAAGUCAUUAAUAGGCUCUGUUUCAAAGAUUAUCAAAUGUUUGCUUGUCCAAAUAUGUCAAAAAAGCCAACGAUUUAAAUGGGGUAUACUUGUUUUUUUCACGACUGUAUUUAAAACCAGCAUGCAGCUGCAGUUUUCCUGAGCUGCUCUCUUUCACAUUCUCAUGUAACCUAUAUGUCAUAUCACAGCAAACCAGUGACUACAUUUCCCAUCCUGCACUGCAGCCUACAAACAUGGCCACCAUGGACGGCAAUUCCCAGAACACUCACAUUCAUUCUAAUCAUGCACUCCUGCAUCAAAUUCACAGCACUCACAACCACAGUAUAGAGAGACAGUUUGAACACAAUGACUUUGCGAAAUAUUGAGUGUUAUCACCAUACCAAGCGUUUGUACCCUGUUCCUCAUUUUGUUUCAUGUCCAUUGAUUUUGCUUCUUGUUUCUCAUUCUUGAUUCUUACCUUGCCAUUUUUAUGCCUGCUUGACAAUCGCCUGACCCAUUGCCUGUUUCUUGACCUUGCUUGUUACAUGUUUUGGAUUGGUCUGCCUGUCUCUCUCUAGAUAAACUCUUAUCUGCAUUUGCAUCCAUCCUAACCUCCAUUAUGUCGAUCUCGUGACAGAAUACUUCGCCACACCAUGGAUGCAGCAGGAAGAUGGAGAAGAAACCACACUGGUGAACCCCAAGCCAGACAAAGGGCAGUGGCUCGGGUUCAUUGUGUCCCAGGUUUGGAUUCGAUCCAGUUACCCCUGUGGACUGUUAUAGGACUCCCAGAUCCAUACGAUGAGUUUUUUAGCUACCCUAAAUAUUUUCUUGCUGACUGCUGACUGGAAAAAAUUUUCUUGGGGGGGGACAGCGUCGCAGAUAUACCUACGAGCAGGCAAACAGGGUGACCUCCUCCCCAAACCCACGAGGUGGUCUCACCUGCAGACCUCCAGCUGGAGGUUAACAUGGCAACCUCAUUUCCAGAGCUCUAACCUGAGACCCACGAGGUAGUCUCAUCUGCAGAGCUCCAGCAUGACACCUACAUGGCGGUCUCAUUCCCAGAGCUCCAGCAUGAGCCCCCCACGAGGCGGUCUCAUCUCCAGAGCUCCAGCAUAAAGUCAAGUUCCUGCUAGAAGACAACGAGGUGUCCUCCCAUGCCAUGUUCCUAUCUGAGGUCAACGAGACGGCCUCCCAAGCCAUGUUCCUGUCUGAGGUCGAAGAGACGACCUCUACAGCCCAGUUACUGUCCGAGGUCGAAAAGAGACGGCUUCCCAAGACACAUUCCUGUCUGAGAUCGACUAGGCAGCCUGCCAAGACAUGUUCCUGUCUGAGGUCGAUGAGGCGACCUCCUACACCAAGUUCCUGUCUGAAGUCGACGACGCGAUCUCCCAUGCCAAGUUCCAGUUAAAGAUCGACGAGGUGACCUCCCAAGACAGGUUCCAGUCUGAGAUCAACAACGUGACCCCCCACGCUAAGUUCCAGUCUGGGAUUGACGAUGUGACCUUCCACGCUAAGUUCCAGUUUGAGAUUGACGUUGUGAGCUUCCAUGCCAAGUUCCAGUCUGAUGAGGCGACCACCCACACCAAGCUCCAGGCCAAGGUCGCUGACAUGGACAACAAAGUUAUGCUCAUUCCUGAGUCUGUUGACACAACCAACCAAGUUCUCCUCAUGCCUGAAACCGACGUCAUGACCAACCAGUUCUGCUCACACCUGAAACCAACAUCACGACCAACCAGGUUCUGCUCAUGCCUGAAAUCAACAUCACGACCAACCAGGUUCUGCUCACGCCUGAAACCAACGUCACGACCAAUCAGGUUCUGCUCAUGCCUGAAGCCGGCAUCAUGACCAACCAGUUUCUGCUCAUGCCUGAAGCCAAUGUCAUGACCAACCAGAUACUGCUCAUGCCUGAAGCUGACGUCACGACCAACCAAGAUCUGCUCACACCCAAGUCUGCUGAUAAGGG